rnacentral:misc_RNA from 1 species
UUCAAUAACAUUUUGAAUCGACCCUCUCCGUUAAGUUAGCAUUUUUCCGUAACCCGAACCCGUUACCGAGAGCCCCAGACCAUCGCAAAACCUCUAAGACCUCCAACACUCUCAACUCACAUCAAUAAAGCUUCAAAAUCGAAUUAANCUCAAGACAGCUUUAUCCCUAAUGUACAUAGCAAAAACGCCAAGUAGCGUUCUCUAUUUGGAACCUAACUGUGUUUUAAAAAUUAAACUUGCGAAAAUCAAAAUACAAACAGAGACGAAAAAACUCGAAUACCGUUGAGUUGAGUGGGGCUGUCACUCUAACCCCGCAUUCUUUACUUGCACUAAAACAGUUAGGAAAAAAAACCUUUGGUGAUGUAUUGUUCAUUGUGAUGUAAUUACAGAAACAUAAGAGGCAGGCGCAAAGUCAUGUGAAACAAAAGGUUCAGUUCAGCCCGUGUCGUGUAAGAAUUAUUGUGCUUAUUAUAUGUGAAUGACACCAUCAUGGCAUUUGUUGACGCACCGUUUAAUUGGCUAGAAGAAAACAAGACCACUCCUAACCCGGGAUUAUUAUGGUGUGCCAUUUAAAACGCUUCAUCCUUCAGCACUCGAUCUGUCAGCAAAGCUUUCAUCUCAAUUUUCAAGACUUUUAAGCACACACUAUGUGUGCACCUCACGAGAUCCAAAGCCUAAACAAAUGAAAGCGAAUUCGGAAUUUCGCAUUGGAUUUGUCGGGCUGUCAAUUAAGCGGGAUUUCUAUUCUUGGCCUAAUGUUUGUUGUAUCUUGUGAUUUUCAUUGUAGGCCUUUGAUAGCAGUGAAUGGGUUACAACGAAUGAUUGAUUGCUGUUGUACAUUAUAAAUUAAUUAACAUUGUUUGCUGGGAAACAAUAUAUCUGACGAUCACACCCCCUCUUAGUCCGGCAACAGCAUAUCACCACUGUCGCAAAUCUAACGGUCUCACUACAGUUCUGUCUCUAGUUCGUGCGGCGACAGCUCUCUGAUGAAAACGCAACACAAGAAUAUCUGACAAGACGAACCACUCGACAACCACAUGGUUACUAACUACUAGUAAAUCUACUUCAGCUGAAAAUACGAAGUCUGCCGGAAUAAAUUCAAGAUGCCAAAAUCUUUUCUGGUCAAGAAGAAGAAACCUCGACGGAACUCUGAAUCCGGCGACGCUCCAGCUCAAGAAGUUGACGUUCAAAGCNCCGGGGAAUGUACAUCUAGAGCUGAAAGCGAUGAAGAAGACCUACAGAGUGAACUCAGCGAAGAAGAGAACGAACUGAAAGAACUUGACAUAGACGCUGAAAGCCCAAAACAAGACAACAGGUCGCCAAAUCCAACUCCCGAGAACAUCUCAGAAAACCAGAAUGACAUAGAAAUGACAGAAGAGUCUGAAAUCGAAAAGACGAACAAUAACGAACAAAAGGAAAAGAUUUUACAUGAAAAAGACUUUGAAAUGAACGGUUAUCGAGAUUAUUGGAUUUCACGGGUNGACAGACUUCCACCGCCUCCUAAGCUCAUCAGCUGCCCAAUGAGGCUCGACAAUGGACUUUCAGGGAAAAUUCGCCCGGUUCCCGAACCAUCCCUUGAAAACGGGAUACCAGGGAAAGUUUGCGGGCUACCGGAAAUACCAUUGGAAAACGGGAUUUCCGCGAAAUUACGUGGGCUGCCUGAGCCACCGUUAAGUCNUCUUCCUCAUGCAUUUAACAGAGUUAAUNGUUUUACAUCCCAUAAUUAUCACCAUUUCCUCGCCGAAGCCAUCCAUCCACAGUUUNCGUAUCCCGAUCAUGCGCAGCCGGAAUUUCCGUACCAUCUUCGGAUGCAUUCGGACUGUAGUCGUGACAUUCAAUUAUAUCCUGGUCUCGGUACUUGCGGAGCGCACUUAGGGAGCCCGUUCUUCAUUCCUACACAUCCUUUCGGGUCUUCNCAUCAUGGUGGUGGCUNGUCACCUCUUUCUNCGCUCGACAAACAUCCGAAAAAACUUGGCGAUGGACUGAAAGACGAACAGAGCAAGUACAAAUGUGAAAUUUGUCACAGCUCUUUCUCUCUUCAGAGACUUUUAAACCGNCACAUGAAGACCCAUUCGUUCUACAAGCGAUAUCACUGUCAGUUUUGUGGCAAAGGAUUCAACGAUACGUUUGAUCUCAAGAGACAUAUUCGCACACAUACUGGUAUUAAACCGUUCAAAUGNAGCGACUGCGAGAAGGCGUUUACUCAACGAUGCUCGUUGGAAGCGCACCUUACGCGNGUGCACGGNAUUGUGCAUAAGUAUGGGUUCCGAGAGCGAAGAGAUAAGAUGUAUGUGUGCGAAGACUGUGGGAAAACGUACAAAGAAUGUCCCGAUUACAUGAAGCACAUUCACGAACAACACCCUGAAACCGAGAAGAUCAUUCGUGCGAGAAGAAACGGCUUCGCUAAAAUNAAAGUAUCGUAGUUAAUGCUGAAUAUAACAAUAGGCUAGACCUCGCCCUCGGGCUUGGCAUAGAGUAGACGCUCCCGGGCAUCGGCGUAAUGCUCACCAAGUUCAGAUCACUUGAUUCUCCUUAAAAAACGCCUCCUUGAACAAAGGCCAGAACAUGGUUUUUGUUUGGGAAAGUAUUGGCAGACUCUUAAGUUUUGAUAUCAUAUUUUUUUUAAUCCGUGACUGCGUGGCAUUGCAAAGGGACCAAUGUUACUCGUAGACUGAAAAUGCCAAGCCCAUUUGAUAGCCAAGGUGAUAUCCAAGCUUAAGGGUUAUUUUGCCACUGGGCUACUGGGUUCUGCUUCCUCCGCAUUCGUUGAUUGGCAGUACGUAAAUAUACAAAAUGUUCUAACCAGGUAAACAAGGUAAACCAACCUUGUGAAAUGGUAAGCCUUGUAAAGUAGCCUCUUGUUUGUCAUGUUUUAUGACAAGCUCUCCAAACCCAGUAAUUCGAUUGCUUGCCAUGGAAAUUUCACUUAGUAUUUUAGUGUACUUAGAAAGUCACAUUGAUUCAUCCUAGAUUAGUUUUGUCAUAUUACUGGUGUUCUCACUCCGGUCCAUGAUUUCAUCAGUUUUUCUGAUUGUGUUGAAAAACUACGCUAAUUGUUCAGCAAUUUCAAAACGUUUGUCUUAGAGAAUUAUGACUAACACUUGUAAAGGUCGAUCAUGCUAAAGGAACCAUUGCUCUCCUGUCUGUUAACUUAUCGCGGAUUGAGGUCAUAUUCACCAAUACCGAUAGUUACUGACUUAUAACAUACAUAUUCUUAUAGUUUUUGUUUACCUUGAAGUAAAUUCUCUUCCACAAGCUUUUUGAAGUAUCAGUAUCAAGCUCAGCUUGUACUAUAGUCAUGUGACUUAUCACGUGAUAGACAGUGUUUCCUAGGGUAACGAACUACAUUCAAUCAUCUCGAAACUAAAAAGAUUUAUAAAGUAUUAAGAUAUCAGAUUAUUUAUUGUUAAUGUUGCGUUUGAAAGAGAAUAUUAUUAUUGAGNCUGUAAAUCAGAUUGUUGUAAAUAUUAUUAAGCCACAAAAGGAAAAUAUUAAGNAUGGAAAAUCCUCUUUUUUACAGAAGGUUUACUUUGGACAAUACUUGAAAAAACAUCAAAAUCUCUACCAUGAGUUUUAAGUUAUGAUUAUUGUGGUAAAGUUUAUUAAUGUUGUAAUUUCUUCCGGCAAUNUUCAAUUCGUUUUAAGAAUUCAGUCGAAUAGUGUAUCCGUACUUUUGUAUNCGGUUUUCGUUUCGUUUCUUCUUUUUCUCACUUAUUUUGAGCUCUUUCGCUUGGCUNCGCUUCGUUUUAUUAUGUAAAUUAGCUUUAUACGUGUUUGCUUCNAGCCGUCACUUUUAUUAGCUUUGACAAAUUUUAAGAACUUUAUUUUUGAUAUUAAAAACACAAGUUUAGAUACGAAACACGUCGAUUUGUUUUUAAGUAACUGCAGGCUAGUUAUAUCCAUUGAUUUCNGGAAAACAAAUUUAUGCUUACGUGCUCUUUUAGAAUAAUUAUGAAAUCAGCCAAUCACUUGACNUAGUUUGAAUCACGUGACCAAUUAGGUAAUUGAAAUUUAUGAUCAUGUGAUUAAAUGAGCCAAUAAGGAACAAUGAUUUUCAAGUGAUGUAAUUGAUAGAAUGCUAUUUGACAUUUUGAUGAUUAUAUAAGGAAAUGAUUUUUAUUAUCCGAGAUUUUGCAAAUAAAGUUAUUUAUGNCAUCUUGAAA